rnacentral:rRNA from 1 species
AUUGAACGCUGGCGGCAGGCUUAACACAUGCAAGCCGAACGAACGGCGGACGGGUGGGUAAGUUCUGGGCAACUGCCUGAUGGAGGGGGAUAACUACUGGAAACGGUAGCUACUACCGCAUAACAUCAGAUGUGCCCAGAGGGGAGUAGCGAGUAGGUGGGGUAAUGGCUCACCGAGGCGACGAUCCCUAGCUGGCCUGGGAGGAUGACACGCCACACUGGAACUGAGACACGGCCCAGACUCCUACGGGAGGCAGCAGUGGGGAAUAUUGCCCAAUGGGCGCAAGCCUGAUGCAGCAAGGCCGCGUGUGUGAAGAAGGCCUUCGGGUUGUAAAGCACUUUCAGCGAGGAGGCGUUAUCUGCAGAAGAAGCACCGGCUAACUCCGUGCCAGCAGCCGCGGUAAUUC